AUGGGCCACUUUAAUCCGCUCUGGAGAACGAGCAGGGAGAGGUCUGGGUGUGCUGGAGUGCUUGGCUGCUGCUUGCAAUGGGCCGCUUUAAUCCGCUUUGGAGAACGAGCGGGGGGAGAGGUCUGGGUGUGCUGGAGUGCUUGGCUGUUGCUUGCAAUGGGCCGCUUUAAUCCGCUUUGGAGAACGAGCGGGGAGAGGUCUGGGUGUGCUGGAGUGCUUGGCUGUUGCUUGCAAUGGGCCGCUUUAAUCCACUUUGGAGAACGAGCGGGGAGAGGUCUGGGUGUGCUGGAGUGCUUGGCUGCUGCUUGCAAUGGGCCGCUUUAAUCCGCUUUGGAGAACGAGCGGGAAGAGGUCUGGGUGUGCUGGAGUGCUUGGCUGUUGCUUGCAAUGGGCCGCUUUAAUCCGCCUUGGAGAACGAGCGGGGAGAGGUCUGGGUGUGCUGGAGUGCUUGGCUGCUGCUUGCAAUGGGCCGCUUUAAUCCACUUUGAAGAAUGAGCGGGGAGAGGUCUGGGUGUGCUGGAGUGCUUGGCUGCUGCUUGCAAUGGGCCGCUUUAAUCCGCUUUGGAGAACGAGCGGGGAGAGGUCUGGGUGUGCUGGAGUGCUUGGCUGCUGCUUGCAAUGGGCCACUUUAAUCCGCUUUGGAGAACGAGCGGGGAAAGGUCUGGGUGUGCUGGAGUGCUUGGCUGCUGCUUGCAAUGGGCCGCUUUAAUCCGCUUUGCAGAACGAGCGGGGAGAGGUCUGGGUGUGCUGGAGUGCUUGGCUGCUUGCUAUUGGGGCACUUUAAACCUAUAUCCCAGGAUCUAGUUUCAGAUUAUCUGAUUUAAACUGGAUUAUAUGAGUUCUCUCUGCAGAUAAUCUGGGAUAAGAAGAAAAGUGAUGGAUCUGGACCAAGCUUGGCACACACCAGCUGUGAAUCCUAGGGGGGUUUUGGAUGGUUGACCCAAGACUUUUGGGAAUUGUAGUUCACCCAUACAUUUUCUCAUGGGAGCAUUCAUAAAAAGAGAGAGAGAGAGAGAGACCAUGGUGUAAUGUAGUGCAGGGGUUCAUAGUCCCUCAGACUGUUGAGGGGCCAGACUGUGGUGAAAUAGUCCAAAAUUAGGAUUGUUGUUGUUGUGUGCCUUCAAGUCAUUUCAGACUUAAGUCAACCCUAAGUGUAAAGUUUAGGACAGGGGCCAGGUCAAUGGCAUUGGAGGGCCGCAUCUGGCCAACGGCCCUUAGUUUGGGGACUCCUGGUGUAGUGCAUUAUGGUUUCCUGAGUCCACCAAUUUAACAAAGUUUCAGCCACAAAAACAAAGUUUCUGAACUAGAACAAUGACUUUCAAAGUAAAGACAACCCAAUGAAACAGGAAAUAAGACUUCCAAACCAGGAACAGAUUUCUGCAAUUAUUAUAAAAUGGUUUAUUAUAAAAGCUAUAAAAAUUCGCCAAAAAUCAGAGGAUAAGGGAAAUGUUCUGAAUUUUCGUGAGCUAUCAGUGUUAAAUGUGUUCUACCACUGUACCAAGGUUGAAGAAGAUAGCUCAAAAAAUGAGGGUGGGAGAGACCUGCAAAGUCUCCCCCCGCUGUUUUUUUUGGCCACUGCGCAUGCGCGUCCGCCAUUAACGAAUUACUUUUGAAAUUAAUGAAUUUUCGUUAAAUUUCAAAAUUUUGGAGGGGCAAAAUUCAGAAAUGACAUCAGAAACGAAACGCUAGCGCCCUCUACUUUUGAAGUGAGUUUAGAAUCAAUUUUUUCAUGGAUCGCUCAAGCCUACUAAUUACACUGGGCAGCCCUAUUCUUCUGGUGCAAGCAGAAUUCUGGGAAAUGUAUUUUAGGGUGGGGCCUUUUGAAUGCUCUGCUACAGAGAUCUUCACCUUCUGAAACUACAUUUCCAAGAAUUCUGCUCACACCAGAAGAAUGGGGAAUGCCUGUGUUACAGCCCCAGUGCGAUAAGGCUAAAUCAAUUUCAUAUCAAUGAGACUCAUAAGCAAUGAGCUAAUAAAAGCAUAAUUUGAGGGGAAGGUAAUGGCUGGAGAGGGAGUACAGCUAGCUAGCUAUCAGAAUUUGGGGUUGGAUAAUUUCAACAGAAGAAGGUUAUAGACUGGAUAUGAAAGAACAGAAACUAACAGAAUUAUCAAAAAGCUACUAUAAGUUUAAGUUUUAUGAAACACACAGAACGGACCUCCAAGCACACAUAGAAUAUAAUAAAACAGCUUUAUUUGUCAUUGUACUAUUACACAACGAACUUACAUGCCUUCCCCAGCACACACCACAAAACAACACACCCAUCCCUCCACACCCCAACACCACCACACAGCCCCAAUGCCACAUCAGUGUGAAACCACAGAAUGCAACAUAUUAGCCACAGCUCUAAGAUAAAUGCUGUCCUUCAGUCCUUAUCACCCUGUACCAUCAGCCAGAUGGUAAUAAUUCAAAAAACAAGUAUGCCGGGUGAGAUGGAUCCCCAAAAAUCCAUCUCUCUAUCUCUCUUCUGCUAAUACCACAAAGACACAGAUGCUGAGGGGAGAAGACCAGCUUUGCAGAAAGCUGAGUGAUUGGCUUCUUGGAUCUUCUGACUGGCUGACAAGGAAAAAAAAAGCAUGCAGCUGUCCUUGUCAAUCACAUCAGGCCCCGCCCC
rnacentral:lncRNA from 1 species